rnacentral:rRNA from 1 species
CGCUUAACACAUGCAAGUCGAGCGAGAAAGGGGCAGCCCCGGUAAAGCGGCGCACGGGUGAGUAACACGUAGGUAAUCUACCCUCGGGUGGAGGAUAACUUUCCGAAAGGAAGGCUAAUACUGCAUGAGACCACGAUCUCGAAAGGGGAUGGGGUCAAAGCCGGCCUCUGUACACAAGCUGGCGCCUGAGGAUGAGCCUGCGGCCCAUCAGCUAGUUGGUAGGGUAAUGGCCUACCAAGGCGAAGACGGGUAGCUGGUCUGAGAGGAUGAUCAGCCACACUGGAACUGAGACACGGUCCAGACUCCUACGGGAGGCAGCAGUGGGGAAUCUUGCGCAAUGGGCGAAAGCCUGACGCAGCGACGCCGCGUGAGUGAUGAAGGCCUUCGGGUUGUAAAGCUCUGUGGAGAGGGACGAAUAAGUGUUGGCUAACAUCCAGCAUGAUGACGGUACCUCUUUAGCAAGCACCGGCUAACUCUGUG